UACAGAGGCCUCGAGCGUUAGGCGGAAUCACUGGGCUUAAAGCGUGUGUAGGCGGACUUCUAAGUGCCUUGUGAAAUCCCACGGCUCACCCGUGGAACGGCUGGGCAUACUGGGAGUCUUGAGCCACCUAGGGGCUGCCGGAACAAAUGGUGGAGCGGUGAAAUGCGUAGAUAUCGUAAGGAAGACCAGUGGCGAAGGCGGGUCUCUGGACAGUUCCUGACGCUGAGGCACGAAGGCCAGGGGAGCAAACGGG
rnacentral:rRNA from 1 species